CGGAGCUUCCCCCGGGGGGUGCGCGCCGCCUCUCCCGACUCCGGAGGCGCGUCCCCGCGCGGCCUGUGGCCGCGCACGACCGCCUCAGGCUGUUCUGGUGGAGCCUACGAGAGGCAGGGCCUGUCACUCCAGCGCGUGCUGCCUCGGGUCCUGUGGGGGGGGGUCUCAGAUGGUUCUUGGGGCGCACCUGGAGGGAGCGGGACGACGGUACUUGUCGCUCCCCAACCUGACACCUUGGCACAGUGAAACUAUGAGAAGUUUCUGGAUUAGGAUUAAGAGACCAGUCCAUCUAUCAAGGAUAACCACGGUCUAGAAAAAAGUAUCUCUGGCUUGCAGGUGAGGCUUUCCCAAAAUUAUACAGCUGUUAAGAGGCAGAGAAGAAGCAAGGCGUGAUCAUGAUCUCAGAUCCCAUGAAAGAAAGAUGACAUGCACAGAAGUUUUUAACUGGAUCCAAGGAUCCCAAGUUUAUAAAUGAUCCUCAAGUGUCUCCUUAUGGGAAAUGUUAUGUGUGUUCCAGUAUACAAUUUUGCUGAGAUAAAAGCUCAAAAUUUUCAUCACACUCUCAAAGAAAUCCAUAACCCACAGAAGAUUAAGAAUCACUGACUUAGAGGAUAUGUGAAGAUAAGGUAACAAUUCCCUUCUAGGAGCCACUGCUCAUAUCACAUCUUUCUUUUUAAAAAGCGUCAGAGAGGGAAUUGUGAUUAUGAAUGGCUUGGCCUCCCUAGCCUUCCUACUUGAGAUCAACUGUUUGCUUCAGAAAUUAGAGAUAGAGUUAUCUAGAAAGAACAAUGGCCUUGAAAAGAUAUUGAGAACUUUCUUUAAAGCAGCAACGCAACAAUCAAUGGAAGUUAUUCCAUUGAUCUAGAAGAUUUUAGUAGAUCUGUUUAAAGACACUUUGUAGGGACCCUUCACACUAUUCUAAAGUUAUUCUGGAACUAACUCAAGGGCUGUGUUUGGCCACUCUACAUUUUAAUGUAAAUGUUCCUUUGCUAAACAUAAGGUUAUAAAUCAGAUGGGUGGUAUCCCUAAAACCAGCAAGUUUCUCCCCUUUCUCAAGUUGUCAUCUCAUCAGCAUAACAGAUUUUUGGGGGAUCAUAAUAGUGCAUUAACUAAUUGUUAUUCACACUGAUUUGGAUAUGUGAAUAUCCAAAUCAUAUUGUUGUUAACCAUAUUAUUGCCUCAUUAUGACAAGAAGCAUUAGAGAUUUUGAAAGGCUAUAGGAUGUAGUAUAAAGAUCCCUGAUUCUAGAGACAGAAGACUUAGGUUUGAGUCUUGGCUUGGUUAUUUAAUGAGUUCAGUGACCUUUAGCAAAUCAUUGUACCUCUUAAAAUCCUAACUUUCACAUGUGUAAAAUGAGCAGAUGCUUGGCAUCAAUAAAUCUGGGUAAACGAUCAAUAA